GAACGCUAGCGGCAGGCUUAACACAUGCAAGUCGAGGGGCAGCAUGAGACGAGAUUCGUCGAAGUCUUGAUGGCGACCGGCGCAAGGGUGCGUAACGCGUGAGCAACUUGCCCGUUUCUGGGGAAUAACCGGUGGAAACGCCGACUAAUACCCCAUAGUAUCAGAUUGAGGCAUCUUUAUCUGAUUAAAGAACUUCGGAAACGGAUAGGCUCGCGUGACGUUAGCUAGAUGGCGGGGUAACGGCCCACCAUGGCGACGAUGUCUAGGGGUUCUGAGAGGAAGGUCCCCCACACUGGAACUGAGACACGGUCCAGACUCCUACGGGAGGCAGCAGUGAGGAAUAUUGGUCAAUGGUCGAAGGACUGAACCAGCCAUGCCGCGUGAAGGUGACGGCCCUAUGGGUCUUAAACUUCUUUUGUAAGGGAGCAAUAAGUUCUACGUGUAGGAUGAUGAGAGUACCUUACGAAUAAGCAUCGGCUAACUCCGUG
rnacentral:rRNA from 1 species